rnacentral:snRNA from 1 species
AGCUAAGACCGAAGCUAGCUC